rnacentral:rRNA from 1 species
AAUGGUGGCUUUAGCCCGGGUGUUCACCUCUUCCCAUUCCGAACAGAGCCGUUAAGCCCCGGUGCGCCUAUGGUACUGCCUUCA